AUGCUAGAAUGCGUGCUCAAUAGAAUCCACACACAUCGAUUCAAGGGAAUCCACACACAUCGAUUCAAGGGAAGUCCUCUGUGUAACAUUCAGAGAAUUUCAGGUCAUGGCAUUGAUGGAAAAUUCUUUCAACAAUGUGACAUUGCUGGAAAAAGUUUUGAUAAACCAAUUGAUUUCAAGAGAUCAAGUAUCUUUAUAAUAAUUUCAAAUGAAUAG